rnacentral:sRNA from 1 species
CAAUCAUGGCUCUGAAGGAGCGCAUUGGCUGGAGAUACAGCCUCCUCUUCGUGGGCCUACUACAGUUAAACAUUGUCAUCUUCGGAGCACUGCUCAGACCCAUCAUCAUCAGAGGAGCAGGGUCACCGAAAAUAGUCAUCCAGGAAAAUCGGAAAGAAGCGCAGUAUAUGCUUGAAAAUGAGAAAACACGAACCUCAAUAGACUCCAUUGACUCAGGAGUAGAACUAACUACCUCACCUAAAAAUGUGCCUACUCACACUAACCCGGAACUGGAGCCGAAGGCCGACAUGCAGCAGGUUCUGGUGAAGACCAGCCCCAGGCCAAGCGAAAAGAAAGCCCCACUAUUAGACUUCUCCAUUUUGAAAGAGAAAAGUUUUAUUUGUUAUGCAUUAUUUGGUCUCUUUGCAACACUGGGAUUCUUUGCACCUUCCUUGUACAUCAUUCCUCUGGGCAUUAGUCUGGGCAUUGACCAGGACCGUGCUGCUUUUUUAUUAUCUACG